rnacentral:tRNA from 1 species
CGGGUUUGAUGAGUGUGAUUUUGUUUUGA